rnacentral:rRNA from 1 species
ACUCCUACGGGAGGCAGCAGUGGGGAAUAUUGCGCAAUGGGGGAAACCCUGACGCAGCAACGCCGUGUGAGUGAGGAAGGCCUUCGGGUUGUAAAGCUCUGUCGAGGUGGAAAAAUGAUCAGCGUCGAAUAGGCGUCUGAUUUGAUGGUACACCUAAAGGAAGCACCGGCUAACUUCGUGCCAGCAGCCGCGGUAAUAC